UCAAUAAAACUAAUGAUGGGCAAGUGUUCAUUGGUUUUUAUGUAAUUCUUCCUUAUUGUAACUGUAAAUAAAAAGGAGUCUGGACAUGAUAGUUUGGAUAUUAUAUUGUAUUGUGAAGCCACGGUUAAUAUGGUUUCCAAUGUAUAUGAAAUGCUAAAGUAUAAAGACGAGAAUGCGUACGAUGAACUUCAGAACGGAGUUCAAAAAGACACUAUCAUAAGUCGUGUGUGGAAGCAAUGGUUGAAAACCAUUUUUCUAACAAUAGCAGUUUCACUUUUGACGGCGGGUCUUGUAUUCACUGUUACCUACUUAACGGUGUGUGCGCAGCUAAAGCAAAGAUUGGUCAACCUUGAAACACAAUUUGCAGAUUUUAAACAAGAAAAUGAGAUGAAACAUCAGGAAGUUGAGAAACGAAACAAUUUAACGUUUUUUGGUCUUCAAAAACAGAAUAAUGACAACACAGAACUACCUCAAUUACAGCAGAAUCUUGAUUCACUGGAUACAAAGUUAUCAGUUCUACAAAAACAGAUUAAUUGCAACACACAACUACGUAAAUAUUAACCAGUUAAACAAAUCUAUGCGUAUGCUUCUGUCACCGGGGAAACAGUGUGACUUGUAGGGUUGUGGAACAAGAGCCUGACUGAAUGGCCUCUUGUUACUGAAACUGUGUGUUGCACCUGAUCACACAACGAACGAUUGGUCUGAAUAGCAAUGACAACUCUGACACUGAAACUCUGGUGAAAACUAACUCUUGAAACUCUGGAACUAGCGAUGAAUAAAUCAAUAAUUCAGCAUGGAAUACUAAUACUUUUAUUACAGAUGGACUGUGUUCAGUGUAAAGUCCUGAGUCCAAAUCUUGCUUAUAAAAAUUAUAAACAAGUAUUUAUACACAAUUGAAUUGACAAGUAUAGACAUAACAAAUAACAAUUAAUUUGAGUAAUAUUGUUCACUGACAAGGAUUAAACUAUUUUUAGAACUUGAAGAAUAAAUUUAAUUUACUAAUCUGAUUAUGA